GGAAGAGAGAUAGAAGUGGAGAGAGAGAAAUGCAGAUUUCCAAAGGCUGCGUAUUUCCUUUCAUCAACUAGGUUUUGUAAUCCCCAAAAGUGGGACCCAACACAACAAUUUAAAAUAACAAUUUAAAUAAUUGGAAAUCCCCAAAAGUGAGAUUCCAAAGCAACUUAAACAAAAUAUCACAAUUAGCCACUUUCAACAUUAUCUUUAGCCACACACGUGUAGCAUCCGAUUUCAAUCUUUGCUUUUGACUUUUCCAUCAAAUUCCCACCCAAAUUACUCAUCUCUUUCUCCAUUCCUUGCAUCCCAGAAUUAAAUACAGUCGAUCCUUUCUUCUUGCAAACUCUAACCUUCAAAUCCACUAUCUUCUCUGCUAUUUCCAUGACAAUACCUCCCGCCGCCAGAGAUCCUUGUCCCCAAGGAUCGAUCUUGCCGAAAGAUUUCACCAUGAAUGCCUCAUCUUCCCAGCUAAUUGCUUCAGUAUCACUGGCCGACCAAAGAACCAAUUUUUGGGGAAAUUUCACUCCACCUCGUUCAACCACUCGCUGGUCCAAGAAUCCCACCGGUGAAACACAAAAGGUACCGUCUUCAGAUAAUGGGGGCAGAUCUGGUAAAACCUUGGCUGACGGACUGAUGACUCGUUUGAGGAGAGAGGCGUGGAAUACCGGAUGAACUCGGGCUCCUUCAGGGCGACUGUGGACUGGCUGUAGGGCUGUAACUUGAGAUAGACAAAAUCGCCAACCUCAAAUUCUCGUUCAGUGCGCUUCUUGUCAGCAAAAAACUUCAUACGACUCUGGGCUGCAAGGUCCUUGGAUUUCCACCGCUUUGCAAAUCCUCAGGAGGGUUCCCUAAUAUUGAUCCACCAUCACCAAAAGGCGAUUUUCCACGGUCAAAACUGGUUAGCUGCAGUUGUAGUGAGGCUAGAGUGGUUGUAAGGUGAUCAAAUCUUCCAGCAAAAUCUCCCAACUGUCUUUGAACUUCUGAUGUAACAGUAGAUAGUUGCUCUUGUAAUUUCAUUUCAGCUGCUUCCCUUUUCAUAGUCUCUGUUUGUAAGAUUUGAUCCAAUCUUUUCUGUGCCUCUAACAAAUCCUUAAACCGCGUAGCAUCAGCCAUUA